UACAGAGGGUGCAAGCGUUGUUCGGAAUUAUUGGGCGUAAAGGGCGCGUAGGCGGUGCGGUAAGUCUGUAGUGAAAUCUCUGGGCUCAACUCAGAGUCUGCUGCAGAAACUGCCGUGCUUGAGUGUGGAAGAGGUGAGUGGAAUUCCCGGUGUAGCGGUGUAAUGCGUAGAUAUCGGGAGGAACACCUGUGGCGAAAGCGGCUCACUGGACCACAACUGACGCUGAGGCGCGAAAGCUAGGGGAGCAAACAGG
rnacentral:rRNA from 1 species